rnacentral:lncRNA from 1 species
GAAGAAGAAGAAGAAGAAGAAGAAGAAGAAGAAGAAGAAGAAGAAGAAGAAGAAGAAGAAGAAGAAAUUAGAAGAAGAAAAGAAGAAGGACAAAUGGCUCUUUUCUGGUCUCACCUUUUCCCUUCCUGUCACUCAUGUGGACCUCAGAUAAGAGCACAGAUACUCUCGACCUCUUACAUUUGGAGAGUUUUGAGCAGACAGGAAGAAGACGGAGCCUGGGAGCAGCUGUUCUCCAAUAGUCAAAUUAAGACUGUUCCUCUCUGAGCUCUGUACUUCAACCAGCACCUUUAGGCAGAAGCCAUCAAAUCAGAAAUGUCUGUUAAUAAUUAAAGUCUAUGAUUGCCACCAA